rnacentral:rRNA from 1 species
UACGAAGGGGGCGAGCGUUGUUCGGAUUUACUGGGCGUAAAGGGCGCGCAGGCGGCUCAUUUUGUCAGGCGUGAAAGCCCCGGGCUUAACCUGGGAACUGCGUUUGAUACGGAUGGGCUAGAGUUCGGGAGAGGAGAGUGGAAUUCCCAGUGUAGAGGUGAAAUUCGUAGAUAUUGGGAAGAACACCAGUGGCGAAGGCGGCUCACUGGCCCGUUACCGACGCUCAGGCGCGACAGCGUGGGGAGCAAACAGG